GACAGAGGAUGCAAGCGUUAUCCGGAAUGAUUGGGCGUAAAGCGUCUGUAGGUGGCUUUUCAAGUCCGCCGUCAAAUCCCAGGGCUCAACCUCUGGACAGGCGGUGGAAACUACCAAGCUGGAGUACGGUAGGGGCAGAGGGAAUUCCGGUGGAGCGGUGAAAUGCGUAGAUAUCUGGAGGAACACCGGUGGCGAAGGCGGCUCUCUGGGACGGUACUGACGCUGAGACGCGAAAGCGUGGGAGCGAACAGG
rnacentral:rRNA from 1 species